UAAAUAGCUUAAAUAGAGCAUAGCAUUGAAGAUGCUAGGGUGAUGUAUAUCUUUGAGUAU
rnacentral:tRNA from 1 species